rnacentral:rRNA from 1 species
UACGUAGGGGGCUAGCGUUGUCCGGAAUCAUUGGGCGUAAAGAGCGUGUAGGCGGCCCGGUAAGUCCGCUGUGAAAGUCGGGGGCUCAACCCUCGAAUGCCGGUGGAUACUGUCGGGCUAGAGUGCGGAAGAGGCGAGUGGAAUUCCUGGUGUAGCGGUGAAAUGCGCAGAUAUCGGGAGGAACACCAGUGGCGAAGGCGGCUCACUGGUCCGGUACUGACGCUGAGGUGCGAAAGCGUGGGGAGCAAACAGG